GAGAUGGACUCCUAUUUUGGAGAAGAGUUUUGGACAUGCAGCACUGGAGAGAGAGAGGAGCUGAGAAGCUCAAAAGACGUCCCGGAGCUGGACCAGGACGGCCAGAUGGAAUGUGGGGGGAUCGGAAGAGCACAC